AUGUUGGGGGAUAUCAUUAUUGCUGAACCAAAAGCUUACCUUGCAUUUGUGGGUAAAAGAGUAAUUGAACAAACGUUGAAUAAGGAAGUGCCUGAAGGUUCCCAAUCGGCUGAAGUUUUUUUCGAAAAAGGCUUAUUGGAUUCAAUCGUAUCACGUGAUUCUUUAAAGGACUUUUUAAGUGAGUUAUUUGAAUUCCAUGGUUGCUUUCCUUGGAUUGAAAAUGAAAACUAA